rnacentral:rRNA from 1 species
GCUUAACGCGAAGAACCUUACCUACUCUUGACAUCCAGAGAACUUAGCAGAGAUGCUUUGGUGCCUUCGGGAACUCUGAGACAGGUGCUGCAUGGCUGUCGUCAGCUCGUGUUGUGAAAUGUUGGGUUAAGUCCCGCAACGAGCGCAACCCUUAUCCUUUGUUGCCAGCGAUUCGGUCGGGAACUCAAAGGAGACUGCCAGUGAUAAACUGGAGGAAGGUGGGGAUGACGUCAAGUCAUCAUGGCCCUUACGAGUAGGGCUACACACGUGCUACAAUGGCAUAUACAAAGAGAAGCGACCUCGCGAGAGCAAGCGGACCUCAUAAAGUAUGUCGUAGUCCGGAUUGGAGUCUGCAACUCGACUCCAUGAAGUCGGAAUCGCUAGUAAUCGUGGAUCAGAAUGCCACGGUGAAUACGUUCCCGGGUCUUGUACACACCG